UACAGAGGGUGCAAGCGUUGUUCGGAAUCAUUGGGCGUAAAGGGCGCGUAGGCGGUCCCACAAGUCGAAUGUGAAAGCCCAGGGCUCAACCUUGGAAGUGCAUUCGAAACUAGGGGACUCGAGUCUCGGAGAGGGUGGUGGAAUUCCCAGUGUAGAGGUGAAAUUCGUAGAUAUUGGGAGGAACACCGGUGGCGAAGGCGACCACCUGGACGAAGACUGACGCUGAGGCGCGAAAGCGUGGGGAGCAAACAGG
rnacentral:rRNA from 1 species